AUUGAACGCUGGCGGCAGGCCUAACACAUGCAAGUCGAGCGAGCGGCGGACGGGUGAGUAAUGUAUGGGAAACUGCACGAUAGAGGGGGAUAACUACUGGAAACGGUGGCUAAUACCGCAUACGAUCGGAUGAACCCAUAUGGGAUUAGCUAGUAGGUGGGGUAAAGGCUCACCUAGGCGACGAUCUCUAGCUGGUCGGAGAGGAUUAUCAGCCACACGGGGACUUAGACACGGCCCAGACUCCUACGUGAGGCAGCAGUGGGAAAUAUUGCACAACGGGCGCAAGCCUGAUGCAGCCAUGCCGCGUGUAUGAAGAAGGCCUUAGGGUUGUAAAGUACUUUCAGCGGGGAGGCGUUACCCGCAGAAGAAGCACCGGCUAACUCCGUGCCAGCAGCCGCGGUAAUAC
rnacentral:rRNA from 1 species